GAUUUAGAGCCAUAGUUGUGACUGACUUGAGACAGGGUCUCUCGUGUAGCUCAGGCUGGCCUCACACUCGCCGAAGCUGGUCUGUACCACUGCAUCAGCAAAAUCGCUGCCUUUGUGAAGCACUGAGGCAGCGCUAACAUGGAGGAAACACCUUAUCCAGGACACAGUCUCCAACAUCGACGGACAGCCACGAGUUGCAGAGGAAAUACCACUUCCGGUCCACCACAGAAUCAUAGACCAGCACCCGGCUCACAUACCUGGAGAAGGGAGAUACAGCUCCAAGGAUAAGAAGUGGGGGUAGGACUCCCUGGGACAUCACAGAGCCUAGGCUCCCUCUCCACUUGCUGAUGAGAGGGCUCCUUCAGGAGACACCCAACAUGCUCACUUGCCUCUCGGAGCCUGCUUCCUGCGAAUGCGAUCAGCACCAGCACAUACAGCAUGCAGAGGCAGCCCACUGUGGUAACCACCACGGGGUUGUCCUCAAAGGUAGCAAAGAGCUCGGCAGUCUGGCGGACGUCAAUGGCGUUGGGCAUCACCAGGAAGGAGCUUCCGAAGAAGAGCUGGAGUCACACAUGUUUGUGAGCUGCUGAUGUGCAUGGUGGAAACUGAACUCGGCUUCUCCGUGAAAACAGCGAGGAUCGGACAGAGUCCAGAGUUCCCAGAACCCAAAUGGAUGCCUAAGGUGAACCUGCUAACAUGCUGGUAAUUCCAGCCUCAGAAGGGGGAGGCAGGAGCCCUAGAGAAAGCUUGAUACCUAGCCUAGCCUUGUCAGCCAGCUGUGGGUGUGACUGGGACACCUGCCUCAUCCAAUGGGGUGGAAAAUGGAGGAUUAAUCCUAGCAUCAGUUUCUGGCUGAUAUACACAUGGACGCACAUGCAUGUGCACCCACAUUUGAACAUGCAUAUACACACACAACGAAAAAAAUUCAUUUUCGAGAACAUGAUUUACUUUCAUCGUGCUAGGGAUCAAACCCUAACCUUUCCAGCAAUGUUCUCUCGCUCUCACUCUCCUGCUCCUGCUCUCUCACUCUCGCUCCGCUCCUGCUCUCGCUCUCCCGCUCUCCCGCUCUCCUGCUCUCUCUUAUUUUGGCUUUCUUGUUUGAUCUGCUUGCCAGGCGCUGGGAUGAAAGGUGCGCAUAACCACACUGGGCUUCUGACACAGGGUCUUUCAUUGGCCUGGAGUUCACCAUCAAGGCCAAACAGUUUGGUCAGGGAGCCCUAGGAAGCCGCCGCAUAACUCUGCCUCUCCAUGAGUGAUGCCUGGCACUGUCACAUGUAACCCAGGACCUGUGCUUACAAAGCAGGCACUUUCCAACUGGUGCAUCACUCCAACCCCAGGGGAGCGCAUUUUAAACGGCAUCACAAACAUCUGGAAGCUCACUUCUGUAGGUUUGGCUGAGUGAAUCCUGUGCCUUCUCCCCACCACCACCCUGAUCCUGUCCCCUGGCUGCCAGCUUGUAGACAGCGUUGCCUUUUACAACCAGAGGGUUUAACACAGUGAUUGUCUUUGACAGGUGGAGCCUGCUCUGUAAGCUAGGUAUUGUGUAAAGUUGCUUGCACCCCUGCACCCCACUCAGCUUGACCCCGUUUUAGGAUGGUAAGGGUCAGAGAGGUGGGGCUACUUGCCCAAAUUCAUCCAGCAAAUAUGGACUAA